GAUGAACGCUGGCGGCGUGCCUAAUACAUGCAAGUCGAGCGAACCACUUCGGUGGAGAGCGGCGAACGGGUGAGUAACACGUAGGUCAUCUACCCAUUAGACGGGGAUAACGUUUGGAAACGAACGCUAAUACCGGAUAGGAUGCAAAUUUAAAGGUGCUUUCGGGCACCGCUAAUGGAUGAGCCUGCGGCGCAUUAGCUAGUUGGUAAGGUAAGAGCUUACCAAGGCGACGAUGCGUAGCCGACCUGAGAGGGUGAACGGCCACACUGGGACUGAGACACGGCCCAGACUCCUACGGGAGGCAGCAGUAGGGAAUCUUCGGCAAUGGACGAAAGUCUGACCGAGCAACGCCGCGUGAAUGAAGAAGGCUUUCGGGUCGUAAAAUUCUGUUAUAAGGGGAGAAAGGUUAGAGUAGGAAAUGGCUCUAAAGUGACGGUACCUUAUGAGAAAGCCACGGCUAACUACGUGCCAGCCGCCGCAGUAA
rnacentral:rRNA from 1 species